GUGCUGACUUCUGAAGCAUAUAUACUAAAAUUGGAAUGAUUCAGAGAAGAUUAGCAUGGCUCCUGCACAAGGAUAACACAAAAAUUAGUGAAGUGUUCGAUAUUUUU